CCGCUCCAGGACUGCUUCCCUACGCCGAUCUCUGCCCAGGACUACUUCCCCUCGCUAGCUGCCGCUCCGGGAUUUGCCUCUUGGGGCUCGCCAGCUCCUCCCUUCCCCCUUCGGAUCCAAAACACAGGGUUCAAGUAGCUGCAGCUGCACGUGUGUUCACCCUGGAUACUGGGAGUAUUCCUGACUUCCGACAGUGCACAGGAAUGAUGUGACGGGAGUGCAGCAUAGCACAGCACAAUGAAGUGAAAAAAGUUGGAUUCAAAGCCCAUUCAGAAUGAAGUAUUUCUGAGAUCCCUGCUUAGACGAGUAUCCCGGAAUACACCCUUCUGGAGAGUGGUCAGUGGUGAUAAACCCAUUCAAGCU